GUGCCAGCAGCCGCGGUAAUACGUAGGGUGCGAGCGUUGUCCGGAAUUACUGGGCGUAAAGAGCUCGUAGGCGGUUUGUCACGUCGUCUGUGAAAUCCCUCGGCUUAACCGGGGGCGUGCAGGCGAUACGGGCAGACUUGAGUACUACAGGGGAGACUGGAAUUCCUGGUGUAGCGGUGAAAUGCGCAGAUAUCAGGAGGAACACCGGUGGCGAAGGCGGGUCUCUGGGUAGUAACUGACGCUGAGGAGCGAAAGCAUGGGUAGCGAACAGGAUUAGAUACCCUGGUAGUCCAUGCCGUAAACGGUGGGCGCUAGGUGUGGGGUCCUUCCACGGACUCCGUGCCGUAGCUAACGCAUUAAGCGCCCCGCCUGGGGAGUACGGCCGCAAGGCUAAAACUCAAAUGAAUUGACG
rnacentral:rRNA from 1 species